rnacentral:rRNA from 1 species
UACGGGGGGGGGCAAGCGUUGUUCGGAAUUACUGGGCGUAAAGGGCUCGUAGGCGGCCAACUAAGUCGGAUGUGAAAUCCCCCAGGCUCAACUUGGGAACUGCAUCCGAUACUGGAUGGCUUGAAUUCGGGAGAGGGAUGCAGAAGUUCCAGGUGUAGCGGUGAAAUGCGUAGAUAUCUGGAGGAAUACCGGUGGCGAAGGCGGCAUCCUGGACCGACAUUGACGCUGAGGAGCGAAAGCUAGGGGAGCAAACGGG